CUUGGUCAUUUAGAGGAAGUAAAAGUCGUAACAAGGUCUCCGUUGGUGAACCAGCGGAGGGAUCAUUACCGAGUUUACAAACUCCCAACCCUAUGUGAACCUAUCUAUCGUUGCUUCGGCGGGCUUUAGCCCCCGCGCCGCUCGCCGGCGCCGGGAAACAGGCGCCCGCCGGAGACCCAAACUCAAUGUUUUUCAUGCAGUAUUAUCUGAGUGGCAAACGCAAAAAUAAAUCAAAACUUUUAACAACGGAUCUCUUGGCUCUGGCAUCGAUGAAGAACGCAGCGAAAUGCGAUAAGUAAUGUGAAUUGCAGAAUUCAGUGAAUCAUCGAAUCUUUGAACGCACAUUGCGCCCGCGAGUAUUCUCGCGGGCAUGCCUGUCCGAGCGUCAUUUCAACCCUCAGGGCCCGCCUGCCUCGGCAGGCGCGGCGCUGGUGUUGGGGAUCGGCUUCACUGCCGUCCCCCAAAUACAGUGGCGGUCUCGCUGCAGCCUCCCCUGCGUAGUAGCAACACUCGCACGCGGAGCGCGGCGCGGCCACGCCGUAAAACCCCCGACUUUCUGAACGUUGACCUCGGAUCAGGUAGGAAUACCCGCUGAACUUAAGCAUAUCAAUAAGCGGAGGAAAAGAAACCAACAGGGAUUGCCUUAGUAACGGCGAGUGAAGCGGCAACAGCUCAAAUUUGAAAUCUGGACCUAGUCCCGAGUUGUAAUUUGCAGAGGAUGAUUUUGGCGCGGUGCCUUCCAAGUUCCCUGGGACGGGACGCCGGAGAGGGUGAGAGCCCCGUCAGGUUGGACACCAAGCCUAUGUAAAUCUCCUUCGACGAGUCGAGUUGUUUGGGAAU
rnacentral:sRNA from 1 species